UUUCCGUAGGUGAACCUGCGGAAGGAUCAUUAAUGAAUUCAGAACCAGGGCGGCGUAAGCUGCUCGAAUCAUCGGCUUCACAGCUGAUGAUAGUUCUAUCAUAUCCAUAACACCUGUGCACUGUUGGAUGCUUGCAUCCACUUUUAAACUAAACAUUAUUGUAACAAAUGUAGUCUUAUUAUAACAUAAUAAAACUUUCAACAACGGAUCUCUUGGCUCUC
rnacentral:misc_RNA from 1 species